GGAGGUGUGGCCGAGCGGUUUAAGGCACCGGUCUUGAAAACCGGCGUGCGUGAGAGCGUACCGUGGGUUCGAAUCCCACCGCCUCCG
rnacentral:tRNA from 1 species